rnacentral:lncRNA from 10 species
ACCUCCCUUAGGGAUCUGUCAGCAUGAAGGUGGGGAUGGAUGUCCAAGGCUGUGAAUGUGGCUCCUGGGGGCGGGCCCAGCAGAUGCCAGAAUCAAGGCAGAGGUCUUUAGAGGAAGAAUCACAAAGAGCCUGGGGCUGGCUGGAAUUUUCUCCCGUGCAGUCGUCCAGCCUCCCGUGGCAGGGAGCGGCAUCUCAGUGUGCGAAGCCCUUUGUAUACUUCCCUGGAAUGUGGCUUUUAUUUUGUAACAAAGCAAAUGUUUUACUGCUGGUUUUCCUUUAACAAAUAAAUAUUGGCUCCAACACAUGUCAGAGAAAGUCGACAACAAUAAAC